GAUAAACGCUAGCGGCAGGCUUAACCCAUGCAAGUCGAGGGGCAGCAUAGAUUGUAGCAAUACAAUUGGUGGCGACCGGCGCACGGGUGCGUAACGCGUAUGCAACCUACCCGUCACAGGGGGAUAAUCGGGAGAAAUCUGGUCUAAUACUCCAUAACAUAUGGAUCGGCAUCGGUUCUUGUUGAAAUUUUCGGAGGUGACGGAUGGGCAUGCGUAGCAUUAGCUUGGUGGUGAGGUAACGGCUCACCAAGGCGACGAUGCUUAGGGGGACUGAGAGGUUUUCCCCCCACACGUGUACUGAGACACGGACCAGACUCCUACGGGAGGCAGCAGUGAGUAAUAUUGGUCAAUGGGCGCAAGCCUGAACCAGCCAUGCCGCGUGCAGGAUGACGGCUCUAUGAGUUGUAAACUGCUUUUGUACGAGGGUAAAGUGGGUUACGUGUAACCUUUUGAAAGUAUCGUACGAAUAAGGAUCGGCUAACUCCGUGCCAGCCGCCGCCGUAA
rnacentral:rRNA from 1 species